rnacentral:rRNA from 1 species
UACCAGCACCCCGAGUGGUCGGGACGUUUAUUGGGCCUAAAGCAUCCGUAGCCGGUUCUACAAGUCUUCCGUUAAAUCCACCUGCUUAACAGAUGGGCUGCGGAAGAUACUAUAGAGCUAGGAGGCGGGAGAGGCAAGCGGUACUCGAUGGGUAGGGGUAAAAUCCGUUGAUCCAUUGAAGACCACCAGUGGCGAAGGCGGCUUGCCAAUACGCGCUCGACGGUGAGGGAUGAAAGCUGGGGGAGCAAACCGG